rnacentral:rRNA from 1 species
AAGUCAUAUGCUUGUCUUAAAGAUUAAGCCAUGCAUGUCUAAGUAUAAAUAGUAUACAGUGAAACUGCGAAUGGCUCAUUAAAACAGUUAUAGUUUAUUUGAUAGUGCAAAUUACAUGGAUAACCGUGGUAAUUCUAGAGCUAAUACAUGCGCAAAUACCGGACGCAAGAAUGGUAGCAUUUAUUAGAUUUAACCAUCAUAUGGUGAAUCAUAGUAACUUAGCUGACCGCGUGUAUACGUGGUAAAUCAUUCAAGUUUCUGCCCUAUCAGCUUUCGAUGGUAGUGUAUUGGACUACCAUGGCAGUCACGGGUAACGGAGAAUUAGGGUUCGAUUCCGGAGAGGGAGCCUGAGAAACGGCUACCACAUCUAAGGAAGGCAGCAGGCGCGUAAAUUACCCAAUCCCGAUUCGGGGAGGUAGUGACAAGAAAUAGCAACUCGUGCGGGUUUCCGUUACGGGAUUGCAAUGAGAUAAGUCCAAAUCCGUAAACGAUUAACAAUUGGAGGGCAAGUCUGGUGCCAGCAGCCGCGGUAAUUCCAGCUCCAAUAGCGUAUACUUAAGUUGUUGCAGUUAAAAAGCUCGUAGUUGAAAUUCGAGUCAGUUACUAGUUGGCUUUUCGUCAGUUAGUUAAUUGAUUCUCCGUCUACAAUCCCUUUUGCGCUUUAGGGUUGCAGCUGGGCGAGUAGACAAUUUACCUUGAAAAAAUUAGAGUGUUCCAGGCAGGUCUUCGCCGGAAUACAUUAGCAUGGAAUAAUGGAAUAGGACUUGGGUCUUUUGUUGGUUUUAGGACUUGAGUAAUGAUUAAUAGGGACAGAUGGGGGCAUUAGUAUUUAAUUGUCAGAGGUGAAAUUCUUGGAUUUAUUAAAGACUAACUUAUGCGAAAGCAUUUGCCAAGGAUGUUUUCAUUAAUCAAGAACGAAAGUUAGGGGAUCAAAGACGAUCAGAUACCGUCGUAGUCUUAACUAUAAACUAUACCGACUCGAGAUCGGAAGGGUAAUAUAUUAGUCCCUUUCGGCAUCGUAAGAGAAAUCAAAGUCUUUGGGUUCUGGGGGGAGUAUGGUCGCAAGGCUGAAACUUAAAGGAAUUGACGGAAGGGCACCACCAGGAGUGGAGCCUGCGGCUUAAUUUGACUCAACACGGGGAAACUUACCAGGUCAAAACAUGGAUGGGAUUGACAGAUUGAAAGCUCUUUCUUGAUUCUAUGGGUGGUGGUGCAUGGCCGUUCUUAGUUGGUGGAGUGAUUUGUCUGGUUAAUUCCGAUAACGAACGAGACCUUAACCUGCUAACUAGUUUGCUUCUGAAUAAGAGGUAUAACUUCUUAGAGGGACUAUGUAUGUAAGUGCAUGGAAGUUUAAGGCAAUAACAGGUCUGUGAUGCCCCUAGACGUCCUGGGCCGCACGCGCGCUACACUGACACGUUCAGCGAGCUUAUUUACCUGUCCCGAAAGGGCACGGGAAAUCUUGUUAGGACGUGUCGUGCUGGGGAUAGAUCUUUGCAAUUAUAAAUCUUGAACGAGGAAUUCCUUGUAAGCACAGGUCAUCAGCCUGUGCUGAAUACGUCCCUGCCCUUUGUACACACCGCCCGUCGCUCCUACCGAUUUCGAGUGAUGUGGUGAACUAUCUGGACUGCGGAUGGGCUCCAACCAUUUGCGGGAAGUUUCGUAAACCUUAUCACUUAUAGGAAGGAGAAGUCGUAACAAGGUUUCCGUAUGU